rnacentral:rRNA from 1 species
AGAGUUUGAUCCUGGCUCAGAAUCAACGCUGGCGGCGUGCCUAACACAUGCAAGUCGAACGAGAAAGGGUAGCAAUACCUGAGUAAAGUGGCGCACGGGUGAGUAACACGUGACUAACCUACCCUGGAGUGGGGAAUAACUGAGGGAAACCUUAGCUAAUACCGCAUAAUACCUACGGGUCAAAGGAGCAAUUCGCUUCAGGAGGGGGUCGCGGCCGAUUAGUUAGUUGGCGGGGUAAUGGCCCACCAAGACAGUGAUCGGUAUCCGGCCUGAGAGGGCGCACGGACACACUGGAACUGAAACACGGUCCAGACUCCUACGGGAGGCAGCAGUGGGGAAUUUUGCGCAAUGGGGGAAACCCUGACGCAGCAACGCCGCGUGGAGGAUGAAAUCCCUUGGGAUGUAAACUCCUUUCGAUCGGGACGAUUAUGACGGUACCGGAAGAAGAAGCCCCGGCUAACUUCGUGCCAGCAGCCGCGGUAAUACGAGGGGGGCAAGCGUUGUUCGGAAUUAUUGGGCGUAAAGGGAGCGUAGGCGGUUCUGUAAGUCGUGUGUGAAAUCUUCGGGCUCAACCCGAAGUCUGCACACGAAACUGCAGGGCUUGAGUAUGGGAGAGGUGAGUGGAAUUCCUGGUGUAGCGGUGAAAUGCGUAGAUAUCAGGAGGAACACCUGUGGCGAAAGCGGCUCACUGGACCAUUACUGACGCUGAGGCUCGAAAGCUAGGGGAGCAAACAGGAUUAGAUACCCUAGUAGUCC